GGGAUACAGCCACAUUUCUUCUACUAAUUCAGGCUCUGUUGCUCCUUCUGCUCCUCUCCCUGCAGAGCUGUCUCCUGGCCUGGCUGCGCUCACUGUGGGCUGUGACUCAGGGAAUCUGGGCUCAAUUUCCCGCGUCCAGUUGCUUCUUCUCGACAGAAACGAACCCGAGACCCUGCCGAGUCCCUCUGGUUAUGAAGACGAGCUGUCGCUGGAAGAGGACUGGUCUGAUAUGAGAAUGCUAGACGAUCCAGAACUGACUUCAGCAGGUGUCUCGAGGCCCCUCACAGCUGGCAGCGGCUCUGAAAGGUGUGACUCUGCAGGGAAAGUCCAUGAAAACAAAUCGGAUCAGUCUGAAGGAUGUUCAGGCUCCCCGUCGUCAUGGAUCAUAGACCCGAGUCCAUCACACGACAUGUUCAC